rnacentral:rRNA from 1 species
AUUGAACGCUGGCAGCAGGCCUAACACAUGCAAGUCGAACGAGUGGCGGACGGGUGAGUUAUGUCUGGGAAACUACCCGAUGGAGGGGGAUAACUACUGGAAAAGGUAGCUAAUACCGCAUCCCAUCGGAUUAGCCCAGAGGGGAUUAGCGAGUUGGUGGGGUAACGGCUCACCUAGGAGCCGGUCCCUAGCUGGUCUGAGAGGAUGACCGGCCACACUGGGACUGAGACACGGUCCUGACUCCUACGGGAGGCAGCAGUGGGGAAUAUUGCACAAUGGGCGCAAGCCUGAUGCAGCCAUGCCGCGUGUAUGAAGAAGGCCUUCGGGUUGUAAAGUACUUUCAGCGAGGAGGCGUUACUCGCAGAAGAAGCACCGGCUAACUCCGUGCCAGCAGCCGCGGUAAUUC